rnacentral:rRNA from 1 species
ACUCCUACGGGAGGCAGCAGUGGGGGAAUAUUGCACAAUGGGCGCAAGCCUGAUGCAGCAACGCCGCGUGAGCGAUGAAGGCCUCGGUCGUAAAGCUCUGUCCUCAAGGAAGAAUAAAUGACGGUACUUGAGGAGGAAGCCCGGGCUAACUACGUGCCAGCAGCCGCGGUAAUACGUAGGGGGCAAGCGUUAUCCGGAAUCACUGGGGCGUAAAGGGGUGCGUAGGCGGUUUUUCAAGUCAGAAGUGAAAGGCUAUGGCUCAACCAUAGUAAGCUUUUGAAACUGUUAAACUUGAGUGCAGGAGAGGAAAGUGGAAUUCCUAGUGUAGAGGUGAAAUUCGUAGAUAUUAGGAGGAACACCAGUGGCGAAGGCGACUUUCUGGACUGUAACUGACGCUGAGGCACGAAAGCGUGGGGAGCGAACAGGAUUAGAUACCCUGGUAGACUGUCA